CCUACGGGAGGCAGCAGUGGGGAAUAUUGGACAAUGGGCGCAAGCCUGAUCCAGCAAUGCCGCGUGAGUGAUGAAGGCCUUAGGGUCGUAAAGCUCUUUUACCAGGGAUGAUAAUGACAGUACCUGGAGAAUAAGCUCCGGCUAACUCCGUGCCAGCAGCCGCGGUAAUACGGAGGGAGCUAGCGUUGUUCGGAAUUACUGGGCGUAAAGCGUACGUAGGCGGUUAUUCAAGUCAGAGGUGAAAGCCCGGGGCUCAACCCCGGAACGGCCUUUGAAACUAGGUAGCUAGAAUCUUGGAGAGGUCAGUGGAAUUCCGAGUGUAGAGGUGAAAUUCGUAGAUAUUCGGAAGAACACCAGUGGCGAAGGCGACUGACUGGACAAGUAUUGACGCUGAGGUACGAAAGCGUGGGGAGCAAACAGGAUUAGAUACCCUGGUAGUCCACGCCGUAAACGAUGAUAACUAGCUGUCCGGGCACUUGGUGCCUGGGUGGCGCAGCUAACGCAUUAAGUUAUCCGCCUGGGGAGUACGGUCGCAAGAUUAAAACUCAAAUGAAUUGACGG
rnacentral:rRNA from 1 species